GCCUGCUUGGCGCAGUGGUAACGCGUAGCACUUGUACGGUCAUACUCUGACUGGUUAGAAAUGCUGAGAUCAUUGGUUCGAUUCCAGUAGUAGGCA